UACGAAAGGGGCUAGCGUUGUUCGGAAUUACUGGGCGUAAAGCGCACGUAGGCGGCCUUGUAAGUUGGGGGUGAAAUCCCGGGGCUCAACUCCGGAACUGCCUUCAAGACUGCAAAGCUAGAGGACGCGAGAGGUUAGCGGAAUUCCGAGUGUAGAGGUGAAAUUCGUAGAUAUUCGGAAGAACACCAGUGGCGAAGGCGGCUAACUGGCGCGUUUCUGACGCUGAGGUGAGAAAGCGUGGGGAGCAAACAGG
rnacentral:rRNA from 1 species